rnacentral:lncRNA from 1 species
CUUGCAACCAGGGGCUGAUGUGUACCUUCUGCUGCCUCUUCAAGAAUUCCGUUUCCGACGUGAAUGUUCACAUCUGCUUUCUAGACCUGCUGACAGAACUCAGGGUUCCCACUUCACUCUGUAAACUGGAGAAGAGUUCAAGCAGAGCUCAAGGAACAUGUAAAUAAAAUUCUAUUACAUACAAGAGUGGAUUUAGUCCUCAGACCUGGCUCUGUCACUUAGAAGUAGCUUUGCAAUCUUCACUCAUCCAAUCACUUUGCAGGUAUAAACUUGGAUUUUCUUCAGGAGUCUCUUUCACUAGCUGAGCUUCUGCUCAUAAUCUUUUUCUUAAUAGUAAAAAAAAAAUCCAGUACUAAAAUUAAUAAUGAAGGAGCAAUGUGCUUGAAGCAAAUAUGUCAAGAAAUUACUUUCAAUUUUUCUGAACAAUGAAAAUAAAGAGUGAAUUCAUUUACCCCA